AAGGCGAAGAUAUAUAAACCUGGUAUCCUAUAAAAUGCAAGCAAGUCUUGGAAUGUCCAAAGUCCCGAAUCAUUGAAGAUGUCAUCUAGAACAUGUAUUCCCUUUUGUUGCCAUUGAGGAAAGAAGAAAGGCUUAUUGGCAGUUCCCGGAUUAUGCCCCCCCCCCUCUACACACGGCUGUGGGCUUUACCAGCCAGUAUAAGGGAAGCCCCGGAAGGCGCCCGCGCUCCCCUAAGGAACAGGAUAGAAGAGAUCACAGGAUUUCAGCUGUUCAACAGUUCAGGAUCUUCUUUGUCAUAUUUGUCAUUUUAUAAUGCACCAAACGUUAUCAGUGGGUGACAUCUGGAAUCCAGGCAGGAUGUCACCAGAGGGGCUCUGUAGAAAUGUGACCAACAUCUCAUAGUGAACAAACUAACAACUAAAUAUGAGUAUGACACCAACCAUGCUACCAAGAGCUCAGACAUGUUAAGCUUGUGGACAGACAUGCGACAGCUGUAGUAAGCUGAAUCAUUUUCUUCAGAACCCAGCUUUUGCUUUCAUGCUGCCCACCUAGGGGACCAAUCUAAUGGGUUUGGACCACUUCACUGCUCUGGGGUUCUCCUUCCUGGACUACAGGCCAACCGAUAUAGGAUUUUUAAGAUUAUACAGAUUUUGAUAGUUGAGGAUUUGACAGUCUGACAUAUCGGCUGAUAUAUACUUUUUUCUUCACAAAUAAAUAAAGGUUUUCCCAAAAACUUAUGUGUAGUUAUUUAAGUUGUGCCCUGUGAUGGACUGGUGACCUGUCUAGGGUGUAUCCUGCCUUCUGCACGAUGACAGCUGGGAUAGGCUCCAGCUCCCUCCUGCAACCCGGAAAGAGAAGCGGUUUAGAAGACGUGUGUGUGUGUGUGUGUGUGUGUGUGUGUGUGUGUGUGUGUGUGUGUGUGUGUGUGUGUAUUUAUUUCCUGUGCUGGUCCCCUGUGGUUGCUCCGAGCCACUAAUCUUCAGUAGUUUCUCUGGGGUAGUGAGGUAGUGUUUGAAGUCCAUAGAUUUCAUCAGCAAAAGACAUGCUACUUGCACACAGUUGUGUAUAGCUGACUUCCAUCUGCAUUAGUCACAACUGAAAACGACUGUCAUAUUUCAGACAUUUGUCAUAUGUGAUUAUGAGCACUGUAACUGUCUGUGAGAGCACAGUGAGACUGUCUCACUGUCUAAUGGCUCUGCUGGUUCUGUAGUCCACAAAAAUGUGAUACACGUAAUGUUUAUGUAAAUGGUUGCAUGUAUUUUUAACUAGGAAUUUAUUCACUCUAGUCCAUUCAUUCCUUUAAGUCACUCACUGAACUCUCACUGAAACACUAAAUACAGGCUCCAGUUUAGGCCUAUUUAGCCUACAAUAAUGCUAAAUGGCUAUCUGGUGAUGCUUUACACAUUUAGAAUGUGCUCAAGCGCAGGAAUAUCCUAUUCUUUCUUUCUGUUAUGUAUUUUUCCAAAGAGGUCAACCCUGAAAAACAUUUUUCUUACUCGUUUCUUUUCUCUAUACACUUGUAACAAAUUUGAGAGCAAUAAUGUGCAACUUUACACCAGAUGAUGCACUGAGGAACCAGACUCCAGGCCUAUUUAAAGAUAAACUUUCAGAAGUUCUUAAACAGGUGGCCUUAGAAUACACACCAUAACUAAACUAAAAUUUCCAGAGAAAUUCGGGCAACAAUUUGUUAGAUCGUGUAUUUAGUGAAAUUCUCACUCUGUUGACCAAAUUUAGCCCAUUUUAAGAAAUAAUGUUUGAAACAAGGAACAUUAUCUGCCAAUGUAGUGAGGUAAUUUGGCACAGAUUAGCUCAGAUGGCUUUUCUUUCAGGAAGUAAUAAGCAACGUAAUCCCAUUACAGCAUGAAAAAAGUAAUGGAAUGGAAUACAUUUUGAGUAAUUACCCCAACACUGGAGCUAUUCCAACUUUAAUGGUAGCAUUAAUGUAAGGAAAAUGGCCCUGAAAUGCAUGAUUGCUGUACCUCUAGUAGUAUCGCAGUACAUAACCCACAUCUUAAGCCCUAUUCGAGCUGGAUUAGUUUUACCUUCGCUGUAAUUUGAGUGAUCCGUGAUUUUAAACCAAUACAAAUCUGUCAUGUCCGUAGUUGUGCUAAGUGAUAAUUCAGUGCCAAUUACCUUCUAUACUUUUCCGAAGUCGGCCCUCCCUCAGUAAUUGUAAACAAAUUUAAAUUGACAUCACAGUAAUAUAAUAACAAAACUGGGCAAUAGAAAAUGCCCCCUCCCUAUUUUUUCUUUCUUUUGUGACCUGAAGGAAAGGCUAAUUGCUAAAAUGAAGCUUAUUUGACCCAAUUCCUUAAUCCUCAAGUUCAGGAGAAGGCUACUAAAAUCCACAACAUUUUUAGUGAUCACUGAAUUACAAGAAGGAAAAUGAAAUAUCUUAAAAGCUUCUCUCACAAGGUUAUGCAUUUUCUGUCAUGAUGGCCAGCAUUUGGUGUUAAAUGGACCCAUUUGACCAGCCUAAUAUAUAUGCCUCUAUAUGCCAUUUAGCUGCAUAUCAUGUUUGUGCCUGUUGCAUAAUCCAGACAUAAACAGUUGUGUUGGUGCUUUGAUCCAGGAUAUUUGAGGUAAUUUGGGGAAAUUACACAGAUCCUUUCCCUGGGACAAAUCAGCCAGUCAAAUCACAUACUACUUACAUCAACAGACAUCCUCUGGUAAAAACAUGGCUUUAAGGCUUUUUAAAGAAUGUAUUUCACUCAAUAAACACCUCACUCAUGCCAUUUUUCCUAAGACAUUACAUACAUUAAACUGCAGUUGUGAAGCCUCUCUUAAAAAAAUCUAGGAGUGACUCUAGAUGAAGUAAAGUAAUUACAGACCUAUUUCAAAUGUACCUUUCACCAGAAAAAUCACUUAAAUUGCCAUCUAGACAAAUUUCUGUCAGGACUCUGGCCUAACAUAGGACUGAGAUUGGCUUUUAUUAAGUGUAUUAAUGACAGUAGUUUACAUACAGACUCUGGAAAAAAAUGUUCUACCACUGCUUGAUUUCACUGCUGCCUUUGAUGUCAAUGACUGUAAAAUUCUCGUAGAUAGACUUGAGAACUGGGCUGGAAUCUCAGUUUAUAUCUGCAAUGAAGGAACUACUUUGUCAAAAAAGAAUCAUGAGACGUGACCUGUGGUGUCCCACAGGGUUUGUUUCUUGGCCACUCAAAUUUAUACAUGCUUCCUCUUGGCCAGAUAUUACAAGCCUAUGUGAUGUAUUACCACAGCUGUGCAGAUGAUACUUAGAUCUACUCGGCCCUCUCCCCAAAAAUAUGGUCCCCUUGACUCACUUUGUCAGUGCCUUGAGCUCAUCACUAACUGGAUGAGACAAAACAUUCUGCAGUUGAAUAAAGAUACAAUUUUAUUGAGAAAUAGCAAUGGGAGGCACAGACUAGCUGCCUAUCUGGAUUUGAGAGCUAAAGAACUAGUAUGUAAAGCAGUUACUAAAUCAGCAUUUUAUUACCUUAAGAACAUCAACAAGAUUACAGGUUUGGAGAAACCCACCCACUUUAUUUCUAGCAGGAUUGAUUACUGUAACCGUCUCUUUAGAAAAGAAGGCAUCACCCCCCCACCACCCACCCCACCCCCUCUUAAAUCCUUACAUUGCCUAAUAGUCGGUUACAGUCUGCCUGCAGUAAAGACUAAGCAUUGAGAAUCAGCAUUUCGAGUUGCUAUUAAAUGGUUGACCAAGCGCAUUGAAAGAGCCCUAACACUAGACCUUUAAAACCAGGCUGAACAUUCCUGUUUGAACAGCUCUUGUCUAAGCCUGAAACACUGUCAGCAAAUUAAUGUAAUUUAAUAUUUAAUUUCUUCUUUUAAAUCUCUCACUUUAAUCACGUACCGUGGUUGGCAUGUAUCUUUUUAAGCCUACCCACCAUGGCAAGGUUAUGACUGCAGCCUCUUCACAGAUGUCAGUUAACUGUUUUAGUUAUUUACUUUGAGGUUGUAUUCCUUUAUGCAUUAUGGGUUUUGCAGCAUUUGUUAUUAUCACAAGCCCUGUUAUGCUCUGUAAUGGAACAUUAUAGGGCUUGUGCACCUACUAGAACCUCCUCCUCGUUCUCAUCCUCGACUCCUGGAGUCAGAGCCACUGUACCUGCUAGAGCCUCCUCUUCCUCAUUGUCCUCCACUCCUGAAGUGAGCCAUUGCACCUGCUACAGCUGCCUCCUCCUCCUCAUACACAUCAUCAUCAUCAUCAUCAUAAUUCUCAACUCCUGGAGUCAGAGCCACUGCACCUGCUACAGACGCUUCCUCCUCUUUCUUCUACACAUCAUCAUCAUCUUCAUCUUCAUCUUCAUCAUCAUCAUCAUCAUCAUUCUCAACUCCUGGAGUCAGAGCCACUGCACCUGCUACAGACGCUUCCUCCUCUUCCUUCUACACAUCAUCAUCAUCUUCAUCAUCUACUUCUAGAAUCAGAGCCAUUGCACCUGCUACAGCCACCUCCUCCUCCUCCUCCUACUGUCUUGCUCCUCAUACACAUCAUCAUCAUCAUCCUGGACUCCUGGAGUCAGAGCCACUGCACCUGCUUACAGCCUCCUCUUCCUCCACUACCUCCUUUUUUGUAUUUUUCUGACAUAUGAAGCUCAUCAGUUUUAUUUCGUAGAUUAAAAACAGCACUAACAUGACAUAAAAGCAAACUGGAAAUAGUAAAGCUUUUCAAAUACAUAUUUUUGGUCUCGAGUGUUUAAACAAAUUACCAUACAGUGGAACAAAGCAGCCAUUCUAAACCGCUAAUGCAGCUCCUGCCUUUUCUUGACAAAAAAAAAGCCAGACGGUGUGGACUCGCCCUAAUAUGGGGGCCUCUUUUUUUACAAAUUUUCGAUGGGGAAUAUGACUUGGCCUUAUUUUUUUGCUUUAAUCCCUGUAAUGAGCAAAUUAUAAAUCAAGACCAUUUUAAAAACUCUGACUGACCAUCCUCUGUGUUCUGUUAAAAGGCUUGUAUCAGUUUGUAGGUUUUCUUCGCUAUUCGACUCUGACAUUAAGCAUAAUUUAAAAGUUAAUGUUUUGCACCUGUAAUCCGAAAGCUUUUUUAAUAAUUUGCUGCUUAUCGUACUGUGCUUUCUCUUUUAGGUUUGUGUCUUAGGUUUUGUACACCACACGCCUCAGAUUACGCAACUUUUUCUGAACAACCAAACAAAGAUUGCUUGAAAGGUGCAAACCAUUUUUUCCAGUGAAAUACGUUGCCUCCCUGAGAGACAUGAGUCAGAACCCUUUCUUGUCAUGGGUAGUGCAGACAUUAAUCUGAAUUCAGUGAGACUCAUUAAAAGGUAUUAUUGGGCCUUUUACGGUCUGAUAGAGAUGUAGACUGUGUGAGAAAAAUCUCAUACUUUUCACGUCACCAUUUUCUACUAAAAGUUCAGCUGGGCCAGUGGUGGACAGUAACUAAGUAAAUGUAAUUUGUUACUGUGCUUAAGUAGUUUUUUCGUGUAACUGUACUUAAGUAUUUCCAUUUUGGGCGACUUUUUAUUUCCACUCCACUACAUU